rnacentral:rRNA from 4 species
CACCGCCCGUCACACCAUGGGAGUGGGUUGCAAAAGAAGUAGGUAGCUUAACCUUCGGGAGGGCGCUUACCACUUUGUGAUUCAUGACUGGGGUGAAGUCGUAACAAGGUAACCGUAGGGGAACCUGCGGUUGGAUCACCUCCUUACCUUAAAGAAGC